AACGAACGCUGGCGGCAUGCCUAACACAUGCAAGUCGAACGAAACGUCCGGGUUUAGUGGCGCACGGGUGCGUAACGCGUGGGAACAUGCCCUUGGGUUCGGAAUAACUCCCCGAAAGGGGUGCUAAUACCGGAUAGUGUCUUCGGACCAAUGAUUUAUGGCAUUUGGAUGGGCCCGCGUUGGAUUAGCUAGUUGGUAGGGUAAGAGCCGACCAAGGCGAGGAUCCACAGCUGGUUAGAGAGGCUGAUCAGCCACACUGGGACUGAGACACGGCCCAGAAUCCUACGGGAGGGAGCAGUGGGGAAUAUUGGACAAUGGGCGGAGGCCUGAUCCAGCAAUGCCGCGUGAGUGAUGAAGGCCUUGGGGUUGUAAAGCUCUUUUACCCGGGAUGAUAAUGACGGUACCGGGAGAAUAAGCUCCGGCUAACUCCGUG
rnacentral:rRNA from 1 species